UACGUAGGGGGCAAGCGUUGUCCGGAAUCAUUGGGCGUAAAGAGCGUGUAGGCGGCUCGAUAAGUCCGCUGUGAAAGUCCAGGGCUCAACCCUGGAAGGCCGGUGGAAACUGUCGGGCUAGAGUCCGGAAGAGGAGAGUGGAAUUCCUGGUGUAGCGGUGAAAUGCGCAGAUAUCAGGAAGAACACCCGUGGCGAAGGCGGCUCUCUGGGACGGUACUGACGCUGAGGCGCGAAAGCGUGGGGAGCGAACAGG
rnacentral:rRNA from 1 species